UCUCUGUCUUAGAGAAUUAAGCCUUUGUUU
rnacentral:piRNA from 1 species